rnacentral:rRNA from 1 species
AGUGAACGCUGGCGGUAGGCCUAACACAUGCAAGUCGAACGGCAGCACAGUAAGAGCUUGCUCUUACGGGUGGCGAGUGGCGGACGGGUGAGGAAUACAUCGGAAUCUACUUUUUCGUGGGGGAUAACGUAGGGAAACUUACGCUAAUACCGCAUACGACCUACGGGUGAAAGCAGGGGAUCUUCGGCCCUUGCGCGAUUGAAUGAGCCGAUGUCGGAUUCGCUAGUUGGCGGGGUAAAGGCCCACCAAGGCGACGAUCCGUAGCUGGUCUGAGAGAAUGAUCAGCCACACUGGAGCAGAGACACGGUCCAGACUCCUACGGGAGGCAGCAGUGGGGAAUAUUGGACAAUGGGCGCAAGCCUGAUCCAGCCAUACCGCGUGGGUGAAGAAGGCCUUCGGGUUGUAAAGCCCUUUUGUUGGGAAAGAAAAGCAGCAGGUUAAUACCCCGCUGUUCUGACGGUACCCAAAGAAUAAGCACCGGCUAACUUCGUG